rnacentral:rRNA from 1 species
CGCUGGCGGCGUGCUUAACACAUGCAAGUCGAACGGGACUGAUUGAAAGCUUGCUUUGAAAAGUCUAGUGGCAAACGGGUGAGUAACGCGUAGGCAACCUGCCUCUAAGAUGGGGACAACAGUCCGAAAGGACUGCUAAUACCGAAUGUUGUGAGUUUUUUCGCAUGGAAGACUCAUUAAAGAUGGCCUCUACUUGUAAGCUAUCACUUAGAGAUGGGCCUGCGUCUGAUUAGCUAGUUGGUGGGGUAAUGGCUCACCAAGGCGACGAUCAGUAGCCGGUCUGAGAGGAUGAACGGCCACAUUGGGACUGAGACACGGCCCAGACUCCUACGGGAGGCAGCAGUGGGGAAUCUUCCGCAAUGGGCGAAAGCCUGACGGAGCAACGCCGCGUGAGUGAAGAAGGUCUUCGGAUCGUAAAGCUCUGUCGAAGGGGACGAACGUGGGUUCUAUCAACAACGGAACCUAAUGACGGUACCUUUCAAGAAAGCCACGGCUAACUACGUGCCAGCCGCCGC